UACGGAGGAUCCAAGCGCUAUCCGGAUUCAUUGGGUUUAAAGGGUGCGUAGGCGGCCAACUAAGUCCGACGUGAAAUCCCCAGGCUUAACCUGGGAACUGCGUCGGAUACUGGAUGGCUUGAAUUCGGGAGAGGGAUGCAGAAUUCCAGGUGUAGCGGUGAAAUGCGUAGAUAUCUGGAGGAAUACCGGUGGCGAAGGCGGCAUCCUGGACCGACAUUGACGCUGAUGAGCGAAAGCUAGGGGAGCAAACGGG
rnacentral:rRNA from 1 species